GUCUUCGUGUUAGUAGAGGUAUAUGAAGUCUGGCCUGCUCGCUGAGUCUAACUUGAAGAGCCGCGGUAUCUUGACCGUGCAAAGGUAGCAUAAUCAUUAGUUUUUUAAUUGGAAACUCGUAUGAAUGGUUAAACAAAAGAAAUACUGUCUGCUUUAUUAAAGUUUGAAUUUAACUUUUAAGUGAAAAGGCUUAAAAUUACUCAAAGGGACGAUAAGACCCUAUAAAGCUUUAUAAAUAAUUAGUAAUUUAGUAAAAUAAACUAUAAAACAUAUUUUUAAAUAUUUAUUAUGUUGGGGCGACACAGAUAUAAUUUUAGUAACUAUCAGAUAAAUAAACAAUUAUUUUUGAAUAAAAUGAUCCUUAAAUUAAGAUUAGAAGACAAAGUUACUUUAGGGAUAACAGCGUUAUUCUUUUUGAGAGUCCCUAUCGAAAAAAGAGUUUGCGACCUCGAUGUUGAAUCAUAAAAUCUUUACAAUGCAGAAGUUGUAAAAGAAGGUCUGUUCGACCUUUAAAUUUUU
rnacentral:rRNA from 1 species